rnacentral:tRNA from 1 species
GGAGAGGUGCCCGGAGCGGCUGAUCGGGGACCAGGGCAGCAGCCCAGAGUCGGACCCUAGCGGUCCACGCAGGUUCGAAUCCUGCCCUCUCCGCCA